rnacentral:sRNA from 1 species
AAGCGUGUGAGGAAGUGAACUAAGAAGGGAGCCAAGACGAAACACGGCAAGUCGUUGGCUCCCUUUUUAAG